GUCAACACAUUAAUAAUAUAUAAG
rnacentral:miRNA from 1 species